rfam:Haloterrigena turkmenica DSM 5511, complete genome.
UAUGUCCGAGGAUAGAGGAAGUCGGGGCAACCCGGCUGGGCGUGAAAUUCUCC